rnacentral:rRNA from 1 species
UAAUACGGAGGAUCCAAGCGUUAUCCGGAAUCAUUGGGUUUAAAGGGUCCGUAGGCGGUUUAAUAAGUCAGUGGUGAAAGCCCAUCGCUCAACGGUGGAACGGCCAUUGAUACUGUUAAACUUGAAUUAUUAGGAAGUAACUAGAAUAUGUAGUGUAGCGGUGAAAUGCUUAGAGAUUACAUGGAAUACCAAUUGCGAAGGCAGGUUACUACUAAUGGAUUGACGCUGAUGGACGAAAGCGUGGGUAGCGAACAGGAUUAGAUACCCUGGUAGUCCACGCCGUAAACGAUGGAUACUAGCUGUUGGGAGCAAUCUCAGUGGCUAAGCGAAAGUGAUAAGUAUCCCACCUGGGGAGUACGUUCGCAAGAAUG